rnacentral:lncRNA from 1 species
GUUGGCACUGUUGAAGGUUGAUGGCUGGAGAGGUAUGGAAGACACCAAAGACAGUCGGUCACUGUAGAAAUCUGAUUACUGGAGCCCAUCUGUUGUAGAAGUUUGUCUACAAUCCAUCAACUGUAGAAGUUCGGACGAAGUCCGAUUCUUGCAGAAGUUCGGAAGGAGGCUGCUUACUGUAGAAGCUCGGAUGGAGAUCGAUUGCCGUGGAAGCCCGAAUAGAGACCGCUUAUUGUAGAAGCUCGGAUGGAGACCGGUUGCCAUGGAAGCCCAGAUGGAGACUAUUUAUUGUAGAAGCUCGGAUGGAAACCAAUUGCCGUGGAAGCCCGGAUGGAGACCGCUUAUUGUAGAAGCUCGGAUG